AUCUAAUUCUCCAAAUAUGGUGCAUUUACAAACAGCAUCUCAAGCGGAACAAGUGUGCUUUAUUCCUUAUCCAUACACGAAAAAACCAAAGCGGGAGUGGCUCAAUGUUUUAAAAGUAAAUCCAAGGGGAAACAUAUUAGGAAAAUAUGAAAAUAAAGACCCGAGUUUAUUGCAAACAGAAAAUGAUGAUGCUGUUUUAAUAACAACAAUAGAAGAUCUUGUACUCGACAAUUUGACAAUCAAUCGCAACCCCAUAAACCUCGAUUUAGAUGCCGGAGAUGUCGAUCCAGAAGAUGAAUUUCGAUGUAAUUUAUCGUCUUCUGAUGAUGAAGAACAAGAAGACGAAGAACAAUAUUAGUUUUGUGUUUAUGAUAUGUACUUAAGUUAUUUCU
rnacentral:sRNA from 1 species